GGCGAGGCACGGAGCCCCCUCAGGGCGAAGUGGGGAGCCCCCGAGUUUGGGUUUUUCUACGCGGGGGGGCUGCGGGAUCACAGGAAGGUUGGGUUUGCUGUGAGAAGCCCUUCGUUGUGCCGUCCUUUUGCCCGCCCAGUCUGACAGGUCGUAAGGGGAAGCUCCAGAGACUGAAAAAAAAUAAAAAAUCAUCCGUUUUACUGAUCUUCACCUCUGAUUCAUCUCCAUCUGCUAUGUGGAAACCGUUCAUCAGGUCCAUGGCUACGAAUAUGUAUCAGCGUUCAGCAAUAAAUGAUAAAAAAGGCUUUGGGUGUGCAUGUUCACUAUCGCUGUACAACCCCCAAAGCCAUGUUUGA